rnacentral:rRNA from 1 species
UACGUAGGGUGCGAGCGUUGUCCGGAAUUAUUGGGCGUAAAGAGCUCGUAGGCGGCUUGUCGCGUCGGUUGUGAAAGCCCGGGGCUUAACCCCGGGUCUGCAGUCGAUACGGGCAGGCUAGAGUUCGGUAGGGGAGAUCGGAAUUCCUGGUGUAGCGGUGAAAUGCGCAGAUAUCAGGAGGAACACCGGUGGCGAAGGCGGAUCUCUGGGCCGAUACUGACGCUGAGGAGCGAAAGCGUGGAGAGCGAACAGG